UACGGAGGAUGCGAGCGUUAUCCGGAUUUAUUGGGUUUAAAGGGUGCGUAGGCGGGCUGCCAAGUCAGCGGUAAAAUUGCGGGGCUCAACCCCGUCGAGCCGUUGAAACUGGCGGUCUUGAGUGGGCGAGAAGUAUGCGGAAUGCGUGGUGUAGCGGUGAAAUGCAUAGAUAUCACGCAGAACUCCGAUUGCGAAGGCAGCAUACCGGCGCCCGACUGACGCUGAAGCACGAAAGCGUGGGUAGUCGAACAGGG
rnacentral:rRNA from 1 species